GUCCAGCAUACAUUAUGUAGCUCAGUAGGUAGAGCACGAGACUCUUAAUCCCAGGAUUGUGGGUUCAAAGCCCAUGUUGGGCA